rfam:Chlorocebus sabaeus isolate 1994-021 chromosome 9, whole genome shotgun sequence.
GCCAGGCGUGGUGGUGGGUGCCUGUAAUCCCAGCUAUUUGGGAGGCUGAGACAGGAGACUCGCUUGAGCCCAGGAGGUGGAGACUGCAGUGAGGCAGUGAGUUGAGAUCACGCCACUGCACUCCAGCCUGGGUGACAGAGUGAGACUCUGUCUCAA